GACGAACGCUGGCGGCGUGCCUAAUACAUGCAAGUCGAACGCAGUGGGGACUGGUGAGUAACACGUGUGUAGCAUCCCAUCAGAGGGGAUAACACUUGGAAACAGGUGCUAAACCGAGACUGAUGGAUGGACCCGCGGGGCAUUAGCUAGUUGGUGGGGUAACGGCUCACCAAGGCCACGAUGCAUAGCCGACCUGAGAGGGGGAUCGGCCACACUGGGACUGAGACACGGCCCAGACUCCUACGGGAGGCAGCAGUGGGGAAUAUUCGGCAAUGGGCGAAAGUCUGACAGAGCAACGCCGCGUGAGUGAAGAAGGGUUUCGGAUCGUAAAACUCUGUCGUUGGGGAAGCGGUAUCUAACCAGAAAGCCACGGCUAACUACGUGCCAGCAGCCGCGGUAAUUC
rnacentral:rRNA from 1 species